rnacentral:rRNA from 1 species
GACGAACGCUGGCGGCGUGCCUAAUACAUGCAAGUCGAACGCAGUGGGGACGGGUGAGUAACACGUGGGUAACCUCCCAUCAGAGGGGAUAACACUUGGAAACAGGUGCUAAACCGAUACUGAUGGAGGGACCCGCGGUGCAUUAGCUAGUUGGUGAGGUAACGGCUCACCAAGGCCACGAUGCAUAGCCACCCUGAGGGGGUGUACGGCCAACCUGGGACUGGGCCCCGGCCCAGACCCCUCCGGGGGGCAGCGGUAGGGAACUUUCGGCAAUGGACGAAGGUCGGACCGACCAACGCCCGGUGGGUGAAGAAGUUUUCCGGAUCGUAAAACUCUGUUGUUAGGGAAGCGGUACCUACCCAGAAAGCCCCGCCUACUACGUGCCAGCAGCCGCGGUAAUUC